UUCUUCUUUGUAAAAUCAAAAUGGGAAGGAAAAUCUCCCUGCCCACCGGAGAACAACACCGUACGAUGGUUCGUAACCAUGAACAAACCUAAACUAAGCAAACCCUAAUUUGUGAUCUGUCCCUAAUUCUUUGUUUUCUUCUCAUCGGAUCGUAUCCCAGAGUACCUUCUUGCUGUAUUCCCUUAUAAAUUCCCCUGAUUAACCUUCAAGGCUUCGUGCUACAGAGACAAAUUAUUAUGUUCUUGCCAUUUUAGUCCAGUUAUUUAAUUGUCGCUUCCUUCGCUCGUUUUCGAGAUUCCCCGUAGAUCAUCAGAAUGAUUUAGUGUAGAUUUUUUGGAAGAUACCUAUAUGACAGCAUGGGUAGCAGUGACAUGGAUAAAACCAUAAGAGAGAAGGAGUCUAAUACGACACCUCCAGCUACGUCACAGGAGCUGUCUUCAACCCCUGGCACUGGAACAAUUAAUCCUGACUGGUCCAACUUUCAGGCAUAUUCUCCUAUACCUCCACAUGGAUUCAUGGCAUCAAGUCCCCAAGCCCACCCAUAUAUGUGGGGUGUCCAGG